GGGCUGGGGGCUGGGGCGCGCGAGAGAUCCCAAAAAGCUCUUAAUCACAAACAUGCGCAGCCACUUCAAAGGUGAGUCCCGUCCUCGUCAUAUCAAUGCGGAGAAUGGAAUUGCCCAAACUGAGGAGCCCGACUGGAUGUCUGCCAGCCACGCUGGCUGUUGGGUUGCCUGUUGGGCUGGCUAAGCAUAUGCGCAUAUAAAUUAACAUAGACACCCGAGUAUUUAAUUAAAAUUCCAUCAGCAGCACACCGAGAUGGAGCGAACACACACACACAGAUGCAGAUACAGAUACACACACACACACACACACAUAUGACAGGUGAAUGGGUGUGUGGGUGUAGACACACAUUUUAGCGCUAAGCCGAGCAGAUGCUCUCGAGUAAAUCCACCAAAAACCACACGGCAGACGGCCGCCCUAGACGCCGCACGUUCCACGUCCAACGUUCAACGUUCAACGAAAUCUGUGAAACGCCUUUGGGGCCUACGCCGGUCCGGUCGAGAGUGCAAACAAAAGGGAGUAGCCCCAGAACACACACACACACCCACACCCACACCCCCACACGGAGACCCAGAAAGAUAAGCGAGUGGGCUGGGAGACUUGGGUUCCAGUGGCAGGAGAGGCCCAGCCAGGACAGGUACGGAUAGGUGGCAACAGGAGGUGCGGACAGCUGCCGGCGGGUCUUCUGCGUCGAUACUGACUGAUGAAGUGGCACUUCUGACACUGCCCCUCCCGCACGGAGCCAGAAUUAUAAUGAUAAUCACGACGAUAGUGACGGCGUGACGGCGACGAUGACUAUGAUCACGUUGAGCACGGAAUCUUAAUUAAGUUUAAGCAGUCAGUCGAGCAAAGGUUGAACCGGACGAAGGCCUGGGAUUCCAUAAUCAAGUAUGAAUUUGAGAGACAGAGUCCCUGCCCCUUGCCUUGUCCUGACAUUUAGCAGAUUAGUGCGUAUUAGUUAGCUCAAAGCCAUGUGGGGAUGGCUUAACCCCUUGACACAUGGUCUGCUCAGAAUAGAGUUUUGAACCUAUUCAUUAGGAAUCUUAAAUGAGCUUAUGAGGUGCAUUUCUAAGAAUACGUAGGUACACUAGUACGAGUACUAAAGGUACCCUUCUGGUAUUCCCUACAUAUGUGGUACCCACAAAAGUAGUAUCACCUGCACCAUUUAGUCGUUCGAGGGUUAAAUGAAUCCACAGAGAACCACACCACACCUCAACAUCACUGCCACAACCCCAGUCUCCCCCUCUCCCGCUCUCCCACUCUCAGUGGCUAAAUCCGAGUCGGCAAGUUGCCAAUGAGCAUUUAAUGCGUCAAACUGUUUAAAUUUCUAUUGGAUUUUUUGUUUUGACUUUCUGUUUGACUUUUGUUUUGGCCACAGAUGCUGUUGCUGUUGUUCUUGUUUCGGAUUCGGAUUCGGAUUGUGCAAAAAGUGACGUUCGGCUUUCAACUUUUUGACCGGAUACGGACACGGAAGAAGAGGCCCCACACACACACACACACACACACACACACAUGCGAUAUACCCGUACAAGCACAUCACGCAAAUGGUCAUCCUGUGGAACCAUUUAUUUUCCACUUUGGCCAAAAGACAAAAACAACAAAAUCAUACACACACGGAGAUCCGAGUACGUUGGACAUAUCCCCGUGUGGGGGACAGAAAGAGACAGCGCACGAGGGAGGACUGGAAUAAAAACUAAAGGAAAAAGAAAAGUUUUUAGUUAGCUUUUGAUGAGGGUCAACUCAAACUCAACGGGUCUGUGGCGCAAUUUUCAAGUGGCCUCCGCUCCCAAGCACCCAGGCUCCCAAGCCUGGGAAAAAAAACGAUGACACACAAUAGUUGGGACAUUGUUUUUGACAUGACUUUCUAUCAAAAACAAAUUUGCCCUUCUUUGUUCUCCUAUUAUUUCGUAUUGCCCGUCUCUCGUUUUUGUCACAAAUCGAGUCAAAUAUGUGGCGGCAGACGUGGCAGCAUUGAGGAGGCGACAUGGAAAGACAAUUGCCAACUUAAUUUGUGGAAUUUGCUCGCAAAACAUAUACAAAAGAAAUUUGAGAAUGCAUAUUCCUAAAUUAAGAGGUGCUCCAGGCCAGGUGCUCUUCAGAAUGGUCCUGGAAAGGCACUAGAUUACCCCUAACUCCUACCCUUUUGGGAUAUUAUAAUUCAGAGCCACAGAAACAAGUCUCUUUGACCACCACAUAUGUAGUAAAUUAUGAUCAUCCGCAGCAGCCUGUUUCUCAGCUAUAAAGUUAUCUCUGCGAAUCAUUGCUCUGGCCGCCGUAGAGCUACUAGCGAUAGAGGAUUAGACCAAAACGCUGUAGGUGGAAGACGGGGGAUUAAGGCUGAUAUAUAAUAUAUCGAGAAUGUAAAUAUGCAUUUAAAUAAUUAUGUUUGGAGUCGAUUUAGGUAUUCGACCCGCUCCUAAUAGGUUUUUCGAGACACACAGCUCUGCAGGCGUCCGCGUCUGCUGUAAGCUGCGGCUAACCACAAUCAGGCAUGCAACAAACUGAUUGCAUCAGACGCAUCGUAAGCCGCAAUCAGAGAACGCAACAGACACAAAAAUGUCUCUUCAUAAUGAGGGAGCCCAUCAAAAUCAGUGCAAUGCACACACGCACUGCAGGGGGCAAAGGGCGAAGAUAGACGCAGGGAGACGGUGGCAGACGGUGGCAGAGUGAGACAGAGAAAAGCCGCACACCGCUGCCGUCAGUUGCAGCAAUUGUCUGAUCCAACGCUAACGCCAACCCCAGCGACUGAGGCCGACCAACCAGCUAGAUGGCAGUGGCAGCCGCGGCUUAUACGUGCCCCAUACACUCACACGCACACACAAGCACAAGGCCGCAAGCAGAGGCGGUCUCUCUGGAGCAAGACGGAGCAGGCAGCGCUGCCAACUGCUGUCAGAGUCGCAGGAUCAGGCAGCGAGUGCUGCCAACUGCACGAACGCCUCCUGAUAGCAGCGCCUGCCGUACUUAACUCGGCAAGCAAUUAGUUAGAAAUUAAAUUCUCUCGAUGGUUUCAUGCCAGACGUUGCAUGCAACAUGCAACCAAAGUUCGGGGUGAAAGUGAAGUAUUUUGGGUUAAGCCGCGAUGUCAGCAUCAGUAAGAGACAAUGGGGACACGAACGCUCUUACGGCGUGCAUAGUGGUAGUUACAGGGGGGUCGGUGGGUCGGGGGGUCGGGGGUCCAAGGACAAAGCAUCAUCACAUCAGUGAUGUAUUUUUGAUUGCAGCUGCUCCAAAACACAGCAAUCAGCAAAAAUUGCGGGGGCGAAGCAAAAACAAAACAAAACGCCAAAACAGAGAGGGCAGAGGACAGAGCACAGAGCAAUCAUCAUAACCUGUAGCUUCGGGCGAGGCAUAACCAUCCGAACGUCCCUCUGCCAAAUCUACCACUCCACUAGCACCAGCCCCAACGGAAAUACAACUCCGGGAUGACGAGAUGACGAGAUGACGAGAUGCCGAGAUGCCGAGAUGCCGUGAACCCAAAAGCGAAAGUUCACACCGAAAUUGAAACCCGGGCGGAAUCUGUGGCAUAAUCUGAGGCGCAAAAUGAAGAUGACAAUAAAUUCGAUUCGAUUUCGGUUUUGAUUUAGUUUAGUUUAGGGAAUAUCAUCAUCCUUGGAUUACCACGCAGUGAACGCAAACGAGCGACUGCCAGUCCCUCCCCUGCUGAUGCGGAUGCCAGAGCCCAAGAUGAUGAUGAUGAUGGGAACGAUUGUCGCCUUAUGGCAAAAGGAAAGUAAACACAAAUAGAUAACAGACAACAAAUAAAAACCAGCAAAACGAAAUGAAAAUAAGACAAAGCACACACAAAUAUCCCAGAAGAGAACGGAACGAGGACGGUUCGCGAUUCUUGGAUACCAAAUUCAUGGAACCCAAGGACCCAAAAUCCAGGGACCACCCCACUGCCAAUGGCAAAUACAUCCUCCAAAUCCUUCUCAGCUUAAGUUGGCUUUGAAAUUUUGAUUGAAAAAAUCAGACAGAGAGUGAGAGAGAGAGAGACAGAGAAGGAAAAGACAAACUAAGUCAGGCACAUCCCUCAGAAAUGGGCGACAAAUAGCGAAAUGUUUCCACAGAAUCCGAUAAUGACUGGGCGAGCGAGGGGUGGUCGGACCGGACCACCUUCUCUCAAUAAUUCAUCCUCUGCACUGCUGCCGAUAUUUUGAUUUGCGAAAUUCCAAUUAUGAGACCCACUUCAGCUGGGUUUAUCCGCUUUGCCGGACGGUCUCGAGUCUGACUGUUGAUUCGUAGAGAUACUCGUAAUUGUGCGGGGCAAUAUAAUUGGAAUUUAAGUGCAAUGACCGCGGUGAAUGCUGGAAUAGUAAUAUUUUUCAUAGAUUAUGCCUUCCCUGAUCAUUCAAUGGUUUCAAGAGAUUUGUAAUAGGAGGUUCCAAUUACAACCCACUGGGAGGAGCAUGGGAAAAUUGUUAUACCCCUUACCGUAAUAUAAUAAAGCAUUAUUAUUAUGUGAUACUGCCAACUUGAGAGAGUUACUUGACUGAUGGAGAAGAUAAUUUUUUUAGGCAGACGUAUAAUUAACUAAUCAAAAUAACAGGUUACAUAGAUAAUACAACUGUUUACAUUAUGUACAAACAAAAUUUCGGGUAAGUUUUCCUUGCUUUCCCCCUUAUUCGUCUUUUCCAUAGACUAUUUUUUCUUAGUUCUUCUUCUUUUAGUUUGCAUUCCCUCCAGCUCUAUUGGCCGAGAUCCUCUCUGCCCACAAACUGCUAUGCCGUGAUCCCCUUCUUGUAUAGCGCCAGCAGGUCUCCCCCGUCGGGUGACCAGGCUACCAGAGGUUUCACCCCUCUGUUUUUCCGGUUCAUAUGAGCAAGUGCGCGCUCGAUGACGGCUGUCCACUCCACUCUCUUGACCGGCUGACAUCGCGAACUCCCCGCCUGAUUCUGCGCGCGGGGCCAUGAUGCUCCUCUCGGGACAUGAUUCCUGCGCGAGAGGCUGUGAUCUUUGGCCUAGGCGACCUUUGAGGCCAGCCCCUACCAUGGUCCUCUUCCUUGCGUCCCACGGUACCUACUUCGCAGGUGAUUCCUCCGAAACUCCUCGUCCCCUCGGGAGUUCCAAGAGAUGUGAUCCUGACUGGACUGCGGCAGCCACUGGCUUUCCUGCUGCGGGAUAUAGCCAUGAUGCCCCUGCUGUAUCGCUGAGUCGACAAUGUGCCAUCCCAUCCUCUGCAGCAGGGACAACCCCCCUAUCCAUACGCCGUCAAAUCAAACGCUGGGCUUCAGCUUCGAGACGCAGGACCUAUUUCCCCACGCAAGACGGAAUCCAAGUCAGACAGAAUCGUAUUCCAGCAGGUUAGAAGCGCUCCUUUUGCAAGAGCCCGAACCUAACAAGCCGCCGCAUCUUUUGACCUGGACAUCGACAACUAUCUCAAGGACUUUGGCCAUGGCAACCAAGGAGCAGUUGCGCGGUCUACUAGACUCUAGAUAGAUCUCGUUGUUGCUAGAUUUAAGAAUACAUACCUCUAUACACAUAGAUAGUAGAUAUAAAUGUUAUCAACUUGUUCAUUUAUUUAAACUAAGUUAAGUUAUGAUGAAUAAAACUAUUGAAUAAUCA